rnacentral:lncRNA from 1 species
GCAAAAGGCAAGCGUUCUUCUGGGUGGUCUGAGCGUGGUCCUAGGAAGGACGCUGUUUGUGAAGGUAAAAUCUCUAAUUGGGGAGAGAAGGGCCAGCUGGUGAGCUGUUGAGAUCAGGUGAAGACCUGAAUCGCAGAAGCACAGCACGGUCAGAGCCCGCUGCGCCGGCAGCAAGGCCAGAAGGUGCACGAAGAAGGUGAGGAUGCCUCUCUGUUUAUCGUUGGAUCUGCCUGCCGUCAAGACUCAC